rnacentral:lncRNA from 1 species
UGCACAGCCACGUUGCUACGUAGGCCAUAAGCAAAGCCAUUAAAAGGUCGUUGAUUUCUCAUUAAUUGCCAAUUAUGGUUUAGUAGGAAAUCCUUAACGGUUUGAAAGUUUUUAUUGGUUGUGAGAUUAAAUCCAUAUUUUGAAUAAAAAAAUAUUUUAAAUAAAAUCUUCUUAGACUAUGGGUUUGAUGAGGUAAAAAAAUGGGGCCACCAUAAUAGAGGGACUUAUCUUACCAAAAAAAAGGCUCCCAAAUUUAUUUCUCCAUAUGAUGGGCCCCACUAUGUGGU